AUAACAGACACUGAAGACUCAAGAAGGGCUGUAUCAUGAACCAUGGUGAUGAUCUUCAUGAGCAAUCCUUCAAACUGACUGGAGUUGUGUCUCUGCGAGUCUUUGUUAUUGGCGUUUUGCUAUAUUUGUUUGUCUAGACUGCUGUAAUAACAUACCAUAAAUUAGGUAGCUUGUAAAUAACAGAAAUUUAUAUCUCACAGUUCAGAAGACUAGGAAGUCUAAGAUCAGGGCACCAGCAUGGUUGGGUUCUGAUGAGGGCUAUCUUCCAGGUUGCAGACUGCUGACUUCUCGUUGACUUCUCGUGUGGUAGAAAGGAUAAACAAGAUCUCUCAGCCUCUUUUGUAAGGACACUAAUCCCAUUGUAAGGGUUCUGCCCCCAUGAGCUAGUUACCUCUGAAAGGCAGCACGUUUUAAUACCAUCACCUUAGGAGUUAGGUUUCAACCUACGAAUUUUGGGGCAUAUAUUCAGACCAUAGUAUGUCUUAAGUUGGAAGUUGAUCCUAAUUCACAGUGGUUCUGGCUCAGAUACUGUCAGCCAUUCUGGGUUAGAUCCUACUUGGUGCUCUGGAUUACACCUCAGUUAAGCUAUUGCCACAUUAUAGACCUUCCUCUCCCCCAAAUAGUUUUGCUUCUGACUUUUGGAAUAGUGUCUGGAAAAUGACACCCCCCCCAUAUUUUCUAAGUAUGAUCUGUGUGAAAGUCUUAGUUGAAAUGUUGUUAUUUUAGCCAAGUUGAUUAAUACUGAAAGGUGUUACUAAGGCUAUAUAUUAAUGGAACUUCUGACAGUAGCUGCCAUUGGGUGAGCUUAGAUUAAAUAGUAAUUGUGAUUGAAAAGGAAUGUAAUUAAUUAUACCAUUUGAGUGGUUCUGGCUCUCAUUAAAAGGUGUCAUGAUUCAAGGAAUUGUGAUAGACAACCCUCAAAGUUAUACAGUUUUUAUUAAACCACAAGCACAGUGGAUUCAACUUUGGAAUGAUGUUCUUUCUCAGGGACCUUCCUGAAUUAUCAACAUUUUAUAUAUAUGUAAUAUAUAACAACUGUGUGGCUAGUCCACACCUGGAUUUCUAGCCAUUAGACUGGCUAACAAGAACACUUGGAAUUCUAAGGUUUCUUUAUGAGACAUUCAAAGGCCUUUGCCUAAAACCAUUUGUCUGAUAAAUGGAAAUUCAAAUAUAGGAAACCUAAUGGUCAUUUUGACAAUUUAGCUCUAUUUAUUUAUUCAUUACAAAAAUGGCAAAAAUGCGGUUUUAAUGAAGAAACUUACAUACAUUAUUCGUUAUUUUUAUUUUAAAACUGACCUGGGUAUAAAACAGAUUGUUGCAUUUUCUGAUGUGAUUUUUAACAAGAGCAGAGUAGCAGACGAUUUGAGCAUAACUGUAGAACACUGCAUGAUUGAAUGAGUGAAAUGCCAUACAAUUUUCAGUACUAGGUAGAAUUCUCACUACCCAUUAAAUUGAAAAAUGAGAGAAGCAAGACUUCUGCUGCCACCCACUUUGGUAAAGAGUCCAGUUUUCUUGGUACAAAAAUAAAAUGCCUACUCCACUCUCUUGAGCAAUAUCUUUGAAAUAUUACUAACCUCCAUGGCAGAGGUUGCUUAAUCUGCAAAUGUUUUGGCUAGCAAACCAUUAUUAUUGCUAAUAACCCUUACUCACAUUAUCCAGAGAACUGCUUCUUCUACCAUUCUUUAACAAAUGGAAUAUAGCAUAGUAGGCGUACUGAGCCGUAUUAAAUUUUACACAUCAUUAGUCCCUACCUCCCUUAAAGUUUUAGCUUAUAUUUUUUCUUUUCUAUCUUCCCCACAAAGACAUUUUUUUGUCCACUAAGGAAACAUAUUGAGUGAGAUCUCAUGCAGAUUAGUGUAAUUCUCUUGUGUAAUUUUGUUUAAAAAAUAGUUAAAGGGCUAUGGGAAAAUGUGGUGACUUUGAUAAAAAUAUUUUAAAAGUAAAAAUAAUGUGUUUUGACCGUGUGAAUGAUGUCACAUUUACUGUGUAAUAUGUAAUUUAAAACAACUACCACCAAAAUUUUUUUUAGUUUGACUCUCUUGAUUCACCAUAAUUAUAUCACAACAAACUCUUUUCAGCAGGAUCAGUUUUUAAGGUUGAGUUUAUUAUAAAAAUAUUUACUUAUAAUCCUCCAUUCAUUAAUUGUUUUAUGGUCUGAUAUGCUUUGGCUCUGUGUCCCCACCCAAAUCUCAUCUCAAAUUGUAAUCCCCACGUGUUGAAGGAGGGACCUGGUGGUAGGUGAUUGGAUCAUGGCGGGAGUUUUUCCCAUGCUGUUCUCUGACACUGAGUGAGUUCUCACAAGAUCUGAUGGUUUAAACGUGUUUUGCGGUUUGCCCCUCACUCUCUCUCUCUCUCCUGCCACUAUGUAAGAUGUUCCUUGCUCCUCCUUUGCCUUCCGCAAUGACUGCUAAUUUUCUCAAGGCCUUCCCAGACAUGCAGAACCAUGAAUUCAAUGAAACCUCUUUUCUUCAUAAAUUAUACAGUCUCAGGUAGUUCUUUAGAGCGGUGUGAAAAUGGACUAAUACAUGGUCAUAUUUUUAAUUUUUGGUAUGCAGUGAUUUGGAAAUUUCCACCAGUUUUUGCUGAAUUAGGUAAAAGGUAUUUUCAGAGAACAACAUGCAAACUAAAAGUAAGCCUUCUUUCCAGCUGCUAAAAAUUGGCUGUUUCUUUUAUAAGUUUUCAAAGGCAAAGGCAACAUUUCAAUCAGCAGUGAGUAUUCUGCCUUUCACCAAAUACAGUAAAAACAGAUCUGCGAAUUAUUCAUAAUGAUCUGUCAUCAGUUCUUGCCAAUCAUGGUAUUCAUAUGUUAGUGAACACCAUUUAUGUCUCAAGCCAUAAGUAGGAAUUUUUUUGAAUCAAGACUUGAACUAGGACUUGAGAUAUGUGUUGUGAAGUCAAGCAGAACCAGCUCGAUUUCUCAGCAGGACGGGACAAUAAAAUCUGUAAGUGUGCAGGCGAGGUGACAUAGGAUAAACAAAUUGGAUGUCUGAUUGAAUUAUGUCUAUUAAAAUCAACAUUUGGUUGGUUAAAUAAUAGUAUAAGUUUUUAUGGAAAUUUACAAUGAAUCAUUCCUUAAUGUAGCAUUUAUAAAGCCGUUAGCUGGCCUAAAAUAUAAAGAGCUAGGAAGUUAUCACUGCCAUACUUGCAGCAAGAAAGGCCCUGAACAAACUGAAAAUCAACAGCUAUUGGUAAAUUAGUCAGAGCAUUGAAGUCAAAGGGAAAACUCCUCCCCUCAAAACUAGGGAGCCAGGAAAAGGGAAAAUUAUACCUUAUUGGGCACAGAAGCAAUUGCUAGAUCCUAAAGAGGAACCAACUAAUUGUUAGGGAUUGAACACAGACUAGCUUGAGAGAAAAAAACUUUCGGGGAUCCCGGCUAAUGAGGGCUACACAUUUUUCUGAGUUUUACCUUCAGGAACUCCACCGGGUUCUCAGGGAGAUAAAAUUGGAGAAGAAUCCUUUCCGUGCUUCAAGCAAGGGGAAGGAUAAUUUAACAAUUUCAAAAUAAGCUCAGAGCACUCUCUUCUCAUUGGCAAAAGAUCUGUACUCCAGGGAAAUAAUUUUACCAGACUCCAACCAUCUUGAGUUUUAUCAAAAUCUAAUUGAUCUGGAAGAAGGAAAAUACCUAACUCUAGCUUUCUUUAGGCUUCCUGUCUCACCUAAUGGGGUAGGAAAAGGAAAGGAAAACACUGAGAAGCACUUGUGAAGGUUAAAGCUGAGGAACACAGGCUUAAAAAAGACCGAAACCUUAUCAUAGAAAUAUAGAAAGCUUCCCACCUAUCACCACAUGAACAAGACUCCCGUUAAAAAUAACGGGAUUACAGUUGAAAGAACUGCCAGCCUCAGACCUUAUUUAUAAGUAAAUUUCUGGGUAAACCUAAAGACAACCAGGGGAGGCGAAAACAAGGACACUAGAUGGAAAUUCUGAAAAUGAAAAGGAAAUACUAGACAUCAAAGACACUUUAACAGAAAUGAAGGAUGUCUUGAAUGUGCUCAUCAGUGGAAAGAAUUAGUGAGCUUAAAGAAUCUGUGAACUUAAAAAUAUGUUAAAAGAAAGCUGAAAAGCAAAGAGAAAAAGGAGUCAAAAAAGGAAAAGAAGUGUAAAUGGCUCUUGAGCUAGAAAAAUAAUGAUGUCUAUCGUGUGUAUAAUGGUUUAUGCAUGUGUGCACAUGCUUGAGUUAACUUUCUAAAGAAAACCGGUAUUCAUGCAGUUUCGGAACUUGCUUCAUUUAUCCAAUGUGCUUCUUUUUCAGAAAAAUUUGAUAUGUGAUUACAUAUUACAUUAUUUUAUUAAAGUCUGCCAUUCCCCCACCUCUAGCUUUUUGUGCUUCCAGGGUUUCUCAAUCAGCUCUCCCAACAUUUCUCCCAAUAACAUCUGGGGCAACUGAGCAGCUUUCACGAAUCCUCACACUCAUCACAUCCCAUAAAAAGGGACCUUAUUGAUAAUAAGGUUCUCCCACUUUAGAAAAAAAGUAAUGGUUUGCAAAGCAAAUGUACUUGUUAUUUUUUACUUUACAUGUGGGAGACAUUGUAAUCUAGUAAAGGAAUGUCUCUGUGUAAGGUUUGUAGACAGAAAUUAUGAAUCUUGAAUGAAAUGCCAAAUACUAAUGCGCAACUCCUGGGACAUUCUGCUUUCCAUAGUUAGUUUCAGUGAAUGAUGAAUUUAGAAAAGAUUUUCUAGAAAUGAGUGAAAAUGACAAAAUAGCAGGCACAUUGCAGAUGCUUCGCAUUAAUGGUGAGGAAAAAAAUUGAAAAAUGUUGAAAGAUGUAGAAUAUUCUAACUGCAAUAAUAUUUGUAAGAUAUUUUCUUUAGGUUUCUCAUUUUUCACAAUUGAUACUUUUGUGGAAAGUUAUGGUGCAUUUUUGGGAGGAUAUUGAUUGUUUUAUGGUCCGAUAUGGUUUGGUUCUGUGUCCCCACCCAGAUUUCAUCUCAAAUUGUAAUCCCUACGUGUUGAGGGAGGGAUCUGGUCGUAGGUGAUUGGAUCAUGGGGGCUGUUUUCCCCAUGCUGUAAAAUUUAAAUUUCAUUGGGAUGUGGACUAAUUGAGAUAAACACUUAAAUUUCACUAGGAUGUGGACUAAUUGAGAUAAAUCUUCGAUAAAUAUUAUCAAUGGAAAAUCUGUUUAAAAAUGAAUUAACUUUUCCUGACUUGGUAUUUUAUGGCCAGAUUUCCAUUGAUUACUUAGUAAAUAGAAUAUUUGUUUAAAAAGGUGGUUUUUGUUUCCUGUUCUCCUAUUUUGAAGAGGAUAAAGGGUGUCUCACUUGGUAGAAAUAAUAUUCACCCAUUCCUUUCUCUUUUUGUCUGACAAUCUGAUUAAGAAGGUACCUAAAAAAGGAACCAGGAAGAAAGUGUGGAGGUCACUUUUUAAGGAUGGAGAAAGAGAAAGGAAAUAUUAGGAUAAGUGAAGUAACAAUGUUUCCAUGAUGAAUGUUUUGGGAGGAAAAAGAUGGAAAAAAUAACGAAGCUUUCUUUCAAAGGAAAAAACCUCAGAUUUUCAGGUCAUUUUUUGUCUCUGCCUUAAUUAUAUGUUAACAGCAUUUGAUUCUUAUUUCACAAGAAUAAGCUUGCAUAUGGGAAAAGAAGGGAGGCAUCAGGUUACGAGAGUGUCCCACAGUUCUCUUUCUGCUAUUUUUGCUAUUACUACUCCUGCCUUGUUCUGCCUUAUAAACCUUGCCCUUCACUAGUGAGGAAUACAAGCACAGUUCAGAAGAGACUGUCUAUCAUAGCCCUGAAAAUAAUCACCUUUCCUGAGAUAGUAAAAUUUUAUUUUAGAAUAGUGGAAUACAGUGCUAAAUUGAUCACUGUGUACUGCUUCCUUGUUUCUUUUGUUAUCUAUAUUUUAAAACAUUUUAGGUCAAAAUUUCCUAUUUUCAAACUGUGUUUCUGUGACAACAGAAAAUCUAAAAAUAAAGCUUAAUUUUAGAUUUUUUUAAACCUAUAAGCCUUAAAAUACCUUGCAACUUACUUUUCAUUUCCCUCAUAGAUUUUCUUCAGGGAAAAUAACUUUCAUAUAAAGUUACAGCCAUAGGCUUGCUAUUCAUUAAACCUAACUGCUUGAUCUCAUGAUUAACUUAAGAGAAACCUUAACACUGAGCUUUUGCUUUUAAUUAUUUCUGUGCUGAGUUAUUGAAAUACAAUUCCAAAUUAUAUUUAUUUAUAUACAUACACAUGUGUGCAUAUAUAGGCUACAUAUUUUAUGUUAAUAUUUUAUAUAUUGUAUCUAGGGCAUAAAGAGUAACUCCGUG
rnacentral:lncRNA from 1 species